UACGUAGGUGGCGAGCGUUGUCCGGAUUUACUGGGCGUAAAGAGCGCGCAGGCGGCUGGUCAAGUCCGAUGUGAAAGCUCCCGGCUUAACUGGGAAAUUGCAUCGGAAACUGAUCGGCUGGAAGGUGGGAGAGGGUAGCGGAAUUCCCGGUGUAGUGGUGAAAUGCGUAGAUAUUGGGAGGAACACCAGUGGCGAAGGCGGCUCACUGGACCGGAACUGACGCUGAGGCGCGAAAGCGUGGGGAGCAAACAGG
rnacentral:rRNA from 1 species